rnacentral:siRNA from 1 species
AGGCCUAUUAGAAUGUUCCACAUC